UACGAAGGGGGCUAGCGUUGCUCGGAAUCACUGGGCGUAAAGCGCACGUAGGCGGGUCUUUAAGUCAGGGGUGAAAUCCUGGAGCUCAACUCCAGAACUGCCUUUGAUACUGAGGAUCUCGAGUCCGGGAGAGGUGAGUGGAACUCCGAGUGUAGAGGUGAAAUUCGUAGAUAUUCGGAGGAACACCAGUGGCGAAGGCGGCUCACUGGCCCGGUACUGACGCUGAGGUGCGAAAGCGUGGGGAGCAAACAGG
rnacentral:rRNA from 1 species